CCUACGGGAGGCUGCAGUGAGGAAUAUUGGUCAAUGGGCGCAAGCCUGACCCAGCAACGCCGCGUGAAGGAAGAAGGCUUUCGGGUUGUAAACUUCUUGUCUCAGGGACGAAGAAAGUGACGGUACCUGAGGAAUAAGCCACGGCUAACUACGGGCCAGCAGCCGCGGUAAUACGUAGGUGGCAAGCGUUAGCCGGAUUUACUGGGUGUAAAGGGCGUGUAGGCGGGGAAGCAAGUCAGAUGUGAAAACCACGGGCUCAACCUGUGGCCUGCAUUUGAAACGGUUUUUCUUGAGUACUGGAGCGGCAGCCGGACUUCCUAGUGUAGCGGUGACAUGCGUAGAUAUUAGGAGGAACACCAGUGGCGAAGGCGGUCUGCUGGACAGCAACUGACGCUGAGGCGCGACAGCGUGGGGAGCAAACAGGAUUAGAUACCCUGGUAGUC
rnacentral:rRNA from 1 species